rnacentral:lncRNA from 1 species
GAGUAUAAAGGGUAUGGAAACAAGGCUUGUGAUAGCAUUAAAUGUGCAAGUGGCAUUGGUUGUACCUUACAGAAGAUCCAUCUAUCAAAUUUGUUAACCCCAAAAUACAGUGUGUAUCCAUACUCAGAGGACCCAUCUCACAAUGAUUUUGGUUUCACACCUCUUCAGAACCAUGUGGUUUUGGUUCAGAAUUUGUAUGACUUCAAAAUUAUACAUUCAAAAAAUAUAAAUAACUCCAUAAAGUAGUAUUAUACUAGUAUAUAAAAGUUGUUAUUUCUGAUGAAGUAGAACACAUAUAAAGAAAAUUCUAAGAAAAAAAAAAUGCAACAAGCUAAGAACUAGAGAGGAGGAGGUCCUGGUUCAUAAAGAGGAGGGAAGCAGCAACUGAAUAAACCACAGCAGCACAGAAACCAUAAGCUGAAAUGUAGAAUAAAACCAAACAAAACAUGUUAUAGGAGGAUCAGUUCUAAGUUUGCAUAACUCAUUAUGAAGCAAGGAUAAGUGUUGUCUUACCAUGUAUCCAAGAAUCCUCCAUCAGGGGGAGCUUGACCUAGCAAUGGUGUGCUUGGAGGAGGAGGAUCCAUCACCUACUUACAAGUUACAAUAAUGGUUACUUCUCAACAAAGAAAAAGUAAGCAUAGUUGAUAGGUUUCUUACCAUCCUUUCCUCAAGUCUUACCUUCAUCUACCAUUCAA